UACGUAGGUGGCAAGCGUUGUCCGGAAUUAUUGGGCGUAAAGCGCGCGCAGGCGGUCCUUUAAGUCUGAUGUGAAAGCCCACGGCUCAACCGUGGAGGGUCAUUGGAAACUGGGGGACUUGAGUACAGAAGAGAAGAGUGGAAUUCCACGUGUAGCGGUGAAAUGCGUAGAGAUGUGGAGGAACACCAGUGGCGAAGGCGACUCUUUGGUCUGUAACUGACGCUGAGGCGCGAAAGCGUGGUGAUCAAACAGG
rnacentral:rRNA from 1 species